UACGAAGGGGGCUAGCGUUGCUCGGAAUCACUGGGCGUAAAGCGCACGUAGGCGGAUUGUUAAGUCAGGGGUGAAAUCCUGGAGCUCAACUCCAGAACUGCCUUUGAUACUGGCGAGCUCGAGUCCGGGAGAGGUGAGUGGAACUGCGAGUGUAGAGGUGAAAUUCGUAGAUAUUCGCAAGAACACCAGUGGCGAAGGCGGCUCACUGGCCCGGUACUGACGCUGAGGUGCGAAAGCGUGGGGAGCAAACAGG
rnacentral:rRNA from 1 species